UGUUGGGUAUAUCCGGCCCUUCGGGCUGUAUCCAGGAAACCAAGUGCAGAGUAAACAAAUCCAUAUUUUGAAUCGAAGAACCAAUUAAAAAAUGGUACAUGUCAACUACGAAGAAAAGUAGGGGGAAAUUGCAAAUGAGUCAAACACAUCAAAUGUUUGAGACCUUAAUAAGACUCGAGCAAAAAGGCAAGCCACAACCAGCUACUCCAAUGCGGGUCGUUUUGCCAAGGCACAACUACAACUCAUAUGAAAUGUUCAGUAAAUGACUUGAUGCUGAAAGGGAAUAGAUUUUGAAAAUGGGUAGCAAGCACAUUCGGCUUCCAUACAUCCGCAAAUGCACGGUCGCUGAAUCCUUGCCUACGUCAACAUCUGUCGCCCGGUAGCGGUACACUCGCAACGAAAACAUUAACCAAAAACCGAUGUAUCAUGGGCACAGCCAAAUCCACGAUCACGACCACAAACCAGACAUCUAAAGUCGAACAUCUCUAGCUACCGGCCACCGGAAGCAGCAAUAACAAAAUAAGGCAGAUUUCGUGUUAAAUGUCACAAAUGUCGGAAAGUCAUAUAGGCUGAUGGAUGAUGGUCCUCGUAUAUACAAAUUUGGCUAAAAAAUCUAAACAUUUAUAAUCAAUGUCUAAAAUAAGACUAUUCAAAGACAUAAAUAAAAGGUUCCACACAAAUUGAAAUGCAGCAAAAAACACAUAUGUUACCUCUAGAUCAAGCUCCACACUUUUACUUUUAUAUUGCACGCGAUGUUAAUAAAAUAAAUCUCUUUUUGCUAAAACAUGUGAUGACCACGUAAUCUAUAAUAUAUUGCGUUUUGAUUUAAACCCAUCUAAGCAUUUAGAAAUAUAUAUAUUUUGGUACUUAAAAAAUAAAACAAAUCAAAAAUUUCAAUUGCAUACAAAAUGAAUCUAUUACGGAAUAGAAAAAAAAAAUCCAGCCGCACAACCUGGGCGGGUCACCCGCUAGUUCGUAGAUAUGUACGUACGUGCUUAAUUUCUGUUCUCGCAUUCCGGGCGCCGUCUCCCUGCUGCACAAUAACGACACCAAAUUAAGCUGCCCCCGUGCAUGCAUGCAUCAUUGCGUACGUACAGCAUCAGGCCGCACGGCAAACGUACGUGCGUAUUCUACCUCUCAGUACAUCAUCAGGCCACACGGCAAACGUACGUGCGUAUUCUACCUCUCAAGUAAGUGGCAACAGUUAACAAGCCAACAAUGCUAUGCUAUACUCCCCUUUCGUCACAGAUCACUGUCGUAGUACAGUAAAUCGUAUGGACGAUUCAACGUACUCCACGCACGGGAAACAAGCAAACGGCCCGUCCCGUCUUUCCACUAAUGGCACUACACCAGAUUCACUGUUCCACGACGUACGGUAGGUACCGCCCGUACGU
rnacentral:lncRNA from 1 species